UGCCCCUCACUUGCCAAUACGUCUAGAUCAGCCAGGGCGUCGGCAUGUGUAGCGUAUUAUGUUGGGCUCUCUCGAGAUAAGGAUACGAUGUCCCUUUAUCGGUUGGUUUCCUGUGUGUGCGGCCCGUUCGUUUUUUUUGUUACUUUCGCAUCGUUCGGUGCAUUCUGGGGGCUGUGUUGGCUUUUGGUGGCUUGCUUGGCCUUUUGGCUUUGCUUGUUGCUACUUGUCGGGCUGCUUUCGGGAAUGUCGACCGUGGAGGUGCAUGAGUGGUGUUUGGUUUGUUACGUGUGGAUGGCUGUUUGCUUGUGCAACAACGUUCACGCUGCAUACCUCUUCAGUUUUGCGGCAAGGCUUGGUUUGGCUUGUGCAUAUUGUGGGUUUCCUGUGUUGCAUACCUAGUUGAUGGAAAAGUGUGGGUUUUACGAUUUUCAUUUUCGUCUUGCGUCGUUCUUUUGGCGUGGGAUGAACAAUGAAGCGAUCUUUAUGAUCCAUCGUGCUGUUGCGUUUGCAACAAUGAUGUGGCCUAUGAAGCAUCGUUUGGUCUCUUGUAUACGGAAGCUCAUUUGGGCUUGGGUCUUUAUAAGAUCAUCGUUACGCCCUUGUUAAGCGUUCUCGCUUCUCCUAAACGAUUG
rnacentral:misc_RNA from 1 species